GAUAAACGCUGGCGGCGUGCCUAACACAUGCAAGUCGAACGAUCCCGCAAGGGAGAGUGGCGGAAGGGUGAGUAACACGUGGGAAUCUACCUCCUCGCAGGGAACAACCUCUCGAAAGAGAGGCUAAUACCCAAAAGGGUCAGAAAUGAUCAGAGUCGAAAGGCGUGAGGAAGAGGAGCCCGCGGCCCAUCAGCUAGUUGGUGAGGUAAUGGCUUACCAAGGCUACGACGGGUAGGGGAUCUGAGAGGAUGUCCCCCACACUGGAACUGAAACACGGUCCAGACGCCUACGGGUGGCAGCAGUGAGGAAUAUUGGACAAUGGGCGAAAGCCCGAUCCAGCAACGCCGCGUGGAGGAUGAA
rnacentral:rRNA from 1 species